GAAGGCCUGGAGCUCCGGGGUCCUCGCACCCGGCCCCCGUGGCAGCCGGCUGUCGCGGACCCAAGGGGCCGAGCGCGGAGCCCCACCAGGGGCUUCACCGACAGUGGUCACCCCGCUCCACUCUCCCCCACUUCGUGCAGUCCGGCCUAAUCUCUGGCUGGUGGAUUUGUGUUGCUAAACCAAGAGCGACGCCCCACGGCGCGCGCCCGAGUCACUGGUUUCUGCGGCUCUCCGGGAGGGCGUGGGCAGGGCUUGGGCCGCCUCCUUCCUCUCGGGCUCCCUAGCCCGCUGCGGCCUGGGGGACUGUUUAGGCGCGCCCCCUAAAUGACACUUUUUCACUUCCAUAGAGGAAGUUGACCCUGCUGGGACGGAUCCCUAGAAAAAUAAGCUUUAAUGGGGAGGGGAGGUGUGGAAUUACGUGUUCUGCGGCUGGGACUGCCGCAGCCAUAGGAUUCUUACAUUGUUCCUGAGGACAGGACACCACCAGGAGCUUUACUGCUUUGAAGAUGACUGGAUAGAUGUAAAUACAAAGAAGUUACUAUCCUAAUUCAACAGGCAAGGAGCUGGCAAUGCUUUCUCCUUCCUGGCCUUUCAGAAAAAAACUGCUUCUCCAGAGAUACCACCAGAUAUGGAGUCUACAUGAGCCAAACCAAGACCCUCAGGCGAUGCCAGGAAGAUGGGAUUCCAAUAAGUUUCAAGGACCUUCCCAUUUCUGCCCUAACACCCACAUUCCUUUGCCAGGAACAUAUAAAGCCAUCCCCUCCGCCAAUUGAGCAAGGCAGAUUUGGGAAAGGUACCCUGCCU